GCUAUUUUGAGCUGCUAACGGAGCCAGAGCAGCAUCAGAGCAGAGUCUCCUUGCUCUGGGCUGCUCCAGGCCAGGCCAUGCGGGCGAAAACAGAAGAGCAGAUUGCAGCGGAGGAGGCCUGGAAUGAGACGGAGAAAGUGUGGCUGGUCCAUAGGGACGGCUUCUCACUGGCCAGUCAACUCAAAUCUGAGGAGCUCAACUUGCCUGAGGGGAAGGUGCGUGUGAAGCUGGACCACGAUGGGGCCAUCCUGGAUGUGGACGAGGAUGACGUGGAGAAGGCUAAUGCUCCCUCCUGCGACCGUCUGGAGGAUCUGGCCUCACUGGUGUACCUCAAUGAGUCCAGCGUCCUGCACACCUUGCGCCAGCGCUAUGGCGCUAGCCUGCUGCACACGUAUGCUGGCCCCAGCCUGUUGGUUCUUGGCCCCCGUGGGGCCCCUGCUGUGUACUCUGAGAAGGUGAUGCACAUGUUCAAGGGGUGUCGGCGGGAGGACAUGGCACCCCACAUCUAUGCAGUGGCCCAGACCGCAUACAGGGCAAUGCUGAUGAGCCGUCAGGACCAGUCGAUCAUCCUCCUGGGCAGUAGUGGCAGUGGCAAGACAACCAGCUGCCAGCAUCUGGUGCAGUACCUGGCCACCAU
rnacentral:sRNA from 1 species